CGGGGAGUCCAUACGGAUUGAACUCAGAACGCUGCUUCUAGCCAAUGAGGUCUAUUUAACAUGGUUGCUCUUACAUGGUUAAGAGCAGGGAUGGGCACAUGUUUUAUCUCGACUGUCUUAGAUAAAGUAAGCCAAGGGCCACACAUUGAACAAUUUAUUUGAAACAUUGAAUAUUGAAGUAGCGCAGAAUUCCAGGCCAGGUGACAGGGCAGUGAAGCACUCCUCACAAUAUUUCUACACAAGAUGAUUGCAUUGCCCAAAUUACGUGCAGUUAAACCAGAUAUGUCUCACUUUUCAAAAUGUUCCCAAGUAAAACUUAACAUAGGCUGUAUAUCAUACAGGUUAAACUGACUUAACAUAGGCUGUAUAUAAUACAGGUUAAACUGAAUCAUUAAAAUCUUAAUAAAGACAGUAUACAACACCGGUUCAGCAGGCUUUGAUACGUGUACAUGUGUUCGUUCUCCAGG